CCAGUGAGAAUUGAACUGCUAGCAAUCAGCAGAAUUGGCCUGCAAUACUGUGUUAUAACCACUGUGCCACCACGGCUGAUAUCGUUGUAUCUCAGCUACUUCACAAGAUUGUUGGAGUCCUGUCUGUAUGAGGAAUGAAGCUGUAAUUGCAAAAAUCAAGGGUUCCCAGAUGAGAUACAGUUGUGGCAUCAACAAAACUAAGUGCUUUCUGCAGCAAAAGGAAGCUGCUGGGAAUAUUUCAGAAGAUUGAAAGUUGAGGAGGCCUCUCAAACAUCACAGCCAAGAAAGGAAAAACUGAAAGUGCGCUUCCCUGGAUGAUAUCAUGACUGGAAUGCAGCUAGCGUGGUUUUCUUUGGGUCCUCUGAUAAGAGAUGAGAUUUCCUUUUCUUUGUUGGAUUUUACAAAUCUGGACUUCAGCCAUCUGUGCUAAAA